rnacentral:rRNA from 1 species
ACGGAAGGCAGCAGUGGGGAAUAUUGGACAAUGGGGGCAACCCUGAUCCAGCGACGCCGCGUGAGUGAAGAAGUAUUUCGGUAUGUAAAGCUCUAUCAGCAGGGACGAUAAUGACGGUACCUGACUAAGAAGCCCCGGCUAACUACGUGCCAGCAGCCGCGGUAAUACGUAGGGGGCAAGCGUUAUCCGGAUUUACUGGGUGUAAAGGGAGCGUAGGCGGCGAGCCAAGUCAGAUGUGAAAGCCCGGGGCUUAACUCCGGGACUGCAUUUGAAACUGGUUUGCUAGAGUGUCGGAGAGGUAAGCGGAAUUCCUAGUGUAGCGGUGAAAUGCAUAGAUAUUAGGAAGAACACCGGUGGCGAAGGCGGCUUACUGGACGAUUACUGACGCUGAGGCUCGAAAGCGUGGGGAGCAAACAGGAUUAGAUACCCUGGUA